rnacentral:misc_RNA from 1 species
AAAGUCGUAACAAGGUCUCCGUUGGUGAACCAGCGGAGGGAUCAUUACAGAGUUGCAAAACUCCCUAAAACCAUUGUGAACCUACCGCUAAACAGUUGCUUCGGCGGGUGGCCGUGCUCUCUCUCCCCCCCCCAGGGGGCGGGCGCGCCGGCCGCCGAGCCCGCCGGAGGAAACCAAACUCUUUGUUUUUACCACUGGCCUCUCUGAGUAUACUUAUCAAAAUAAGUCAAAACUUUCAACAACGGAUCUCUUGGUUCUG